rnacentral:rRNA from 1 species
ACGGAAGGCAGCAGUGGGGAAUAUUGCACAAUGGGGGAAACCCUGAUGCAGCAACGCCGCGUGAGUGAUGACGGCCUUCGGGUUGUAAAGCUCUGUCUUCAGGGACGAUAAUGACGGUCACUGAGGAGGAAGCCAAGGCUAACUACGUGCCAGCAGCCGCGGUAAUACGUAGGUGGCAAGCGUUGUCCGGAUUUACUGGGCGUAAAGGGAGCGUAGGCGGACUUUUAAGUGGGAUGUGAAAUCCCCGGGCUCAACCUGGGUGCUGCAUUCCAAACUGGGAGUCUAGAGUACAGGAGGGGAAAGCGGAAUUCCUAGUGUAGCGGUGAAAUGCGUAGAGAUUAGGAAGAACACCGGUGGCGAAGGCGGCUUUCUGGACUGUAACUGACGCUGUGGCUCGAAAGCGUGGGGAGCGAACAGGAUUAGAUACCCUGGUA